AUGAAUGAACAGAUAUUGCCAGGAUUACUGCAUGAGCAAAUGUGGAUGUGGAGAACUAAUAGGACCUGGACAAGAAGCCUUGAACUCAUAGACCAGAGCCUGAAUUCUGAUCUUGAAUCAGCCCCUGACUUGGCUCAAGAAUACCAGGACCUCUUUUAUCCCACCUGGGGAGAGAAGCAGUAUUCACAACCACCUCCCGCCCUGACACGGUCUUUUCACUGGGGUCCACAGCAGCCCCCUUCCCCUGCUUUAUUGACACCGCUAUUAUAUAACAGUGGGUUAUUCAACAAAUGUUCCUGUUCACAUUUGGUCCUAAGAAGUCAAUCAGAUAAAUAAAGAUACCAAAAAGCAACUUGGGCUCAUUACAAACAAUACAGAAACUGAACGGAAAGAUAAUUGCAGCAAUUUGCUCAUCCCACAUCCUUCCCCUUGCCCAACCUCCCAUCCCACCAGCUACCCCUGCCCCUCCCGGAGUCAAGCUGCUGACUGUUUUAUGGUUUGCUAGUCUCUUCUAGGCUCUCAGGUUGGUUUAAUUAGAAACAGGCUGGGAAAUGCUUCCCAUACAGUGGCAUGUUGCAUUUGCAAUGUUAAUUGCUUAUCAGAGAAGAAGGGGUGACAAUGUUUAAUGAUGGAAAUUUCCUCUGCCUCCCUCCCUUUCUCUUACCCCAUCUCUGCCUCUCAGCUUUGUUUUCUUUCCCCCAGGUUUUCUUUCUCCCUGUACUGUUCCUCAGGAGCCAAAAGCUCCUUGUACAUUUCCAGGGAUCUAGGGGGGUUUACUGGCACAUGAGCAGAGGUGUUUAGAGUAUCAAAUUUGGGAAAGUGAAAUGAAAAACCAAUCCUUCUAUCUCCAUUCCUUCCUCCCUGUCUCAUCUCAGCCUUCUCUGUCCUGGUUUUGAAGAGGUGAUUUCUGAACAGGGAAUUAUCUAGCUAUACACUGCAAUACAAAGGAUUUUCUCUCCUCUUUCUGCUAUCCUUUCUUCUUCCUUUUUUCCUUCCUCCUCCCUCCCAUUUUUUUCUCACCUCCCACUCCUUUUCUUUCUCUUUCUCUUCCUUCCUUCCUUCCUUCCUUCCUUCCUUCCUUCCUUCCUUCCUUCCUUCCUUCCUUCCUUCCUUCCUUCCUUCCUUCCUUCCUUCCUUCCUUCUUUCUUUCCCUCCCUCCCUUCCCACCCUUCUUCCUCCCCCUUUCCAAGUCAGGAGAAGAGAGCGAAUUGGAGAAAUGGGAGACAAUGUCAUGUUUCUCCAUAAAGGUACAAAGCUGUUUGCAGAGUCAGCUCCAGUGACCUAGUCCCUCCGGCAUCUGGGUGAUAAGGGUCCCCCACAGUGCACUGGGUAGCUC
rnacentral:lncRNA from 1 species